UAAUGGAUCGGACUUAUUAGCUCGCAAAUCUUGAACUGGCCAACGACUUCCCGGCGUCUUCGCCCUUUCCCUCGCAAGCUCGCCUAAGGGUGCUUAGGGUUUGGAUCUUCUGAUCUAAUCCACUCCGAUAGCAGUCGCCCGAGGGAACACGGCUAGGUUUUCGUUCCUAAGUCGGGAGUCCGGUCUAUGAUUUCAGUUUUGCGUCUUUGUCGGGAUUUCUAGGUGUUUUUCGCGAUUGAGAUUUCGGAUUCGUUAGGACUGUAUUCAUUGCAGGUGUUUCACUUUGUUCUAUCUCGCAGAAAGGGUUGAUUUUGGAUCGUCCGAGUUAGAACCAUAUAUUGUCUUUACUGGAAAAUUUCUGGUUGUUUGAUGACAAGGAUGAAUUGAAAUUAAGGGAGCUGAGGGGUUCUUUUGAUGCUACGGAUUAGGCUUGUAAUUGUUCAUUCUGUUUUUAAAGGCUAAUCAUCACAAUAUUAUAUUACGGCUUGUAAAAGGAUAGGUUAACUAUAGUUGGUAACUUUAAUUCAUGCAUGUGCAUUUAUUGUAAUUACUUUACUUCCAUCUCUCUCUCUCUCUCAUAUUUUUUUUUGGUCAAGAAUAUUGGUUUAUAUAUUUGAUCUGAAAUA